CAUAGAUUUCAAAUAGUGGUUGGAUGUUUAAUUAGGUUAUUGAGCCCAAAUCCAUGUGCCAUAAUAUUCUAACAUGAUUUAUAUCUCAUGUGUAUUAAUUUAAUAGCAUACCCAAAUGUAUUAAUCUGAUGGGUUGAAGUUGAAUUCCAGCUUUGCCAAGUAAUGUUUUUGUAAACUUGGGAAAAUAAUUCUAUUUCUUUGGACUUUAGUUUAUUUACUGGGAAAAGGAGGACAGUAGUAUCUGUCUCAUAGGCUUAGUGUGAGGAAUUAACAUGUUUAUGCAAAAGUUUAACAGUAAAGAGUAAAUAUUAGAGUUAUUGUGCUUUUUAGCUUUCAGAGUACUUUAGCAUUCUGUGAAAGAGGUAGGGUCUAGAAUCUAGUUCUAUUUU
rnacentral:lncRNA from 1 species